rnacentral:lncRNA from 1 species
CCAGAUAUUUCUAUUUUUCUCUUUCAAUAGUAAAUCACAAAGGUGACCGUUCCAAUUCCGGAAAAGAGAGAGAGGUGGAGUUUGGGAGGGGAUUGAAGAUAACAAAAUCUAGACUCGAUCCAAUAAACUUCAACAUCCAUCAAAGGUUAAAUAUUCAAACCUUAAAAUAACCCUUUUUAUUAGAGGCGACGAUGUUGCAGAAUCAAAACAGCAGGAUGAAAGGAUUGUUUUCUGUCUUUUUUCCCCUUCCUUUGUGUCAUCGUCUAUCAUUAAAACAUACUAAGUUCAAAAAUCCCCCAUUCAAACAAUUUUUUUCUACAUAAAAUCCACUCCAUACCCAAUUAAUUCCUCGCCAAAAGCCAAAACACCAUCAAAAAUACAAUCUUUAAAGCUUAAAAGGGCGUAACCUGCAUCGGGAGCGCAUCCAUGUCGGCCCUCAACGCAACAAAUGGAGCAUUCCCAGUGCCGACAAAUCCCACAACACCCGUGACGGCGAUCGGAUACUUAUAAGCGAUGCCCAUCGCUUCGAGCUCCCUCCUGAUGAGCUCGCUGGUCUUGAAUUCCUCAUACCCAAGCUCCGGAUUCUCGUGGAUCCUCCUCCUGAUGCCCACCAUCCAGUCCAAGAACUCCGAUUCCUUGGCCCUCUGGAGGAAUCCAGCGGGAUCGGGAGAGGAAGAACAAGUGAGCACCGAGCUCAGUAGAGAAACAAAGUGAACCAAAGCGACCCAUUUGGAGGAAGCCAUCCUCUCCUCCGACGCUUUCCUCUCUUGGAAGAGUCGAUGCCCUCUGAAGAGGGGAAGAAGAAGAAAU